UACGGAAGAUGCGAGCGUUAUCCGGAUUUAUUGGGUUUAAAGGGAGCGUAGGCGGGCUUUUAAGUCCGCGGUAAAAUGGCACGGCUCAACCGUGUCCGGCCGUGGAAACUGGGAGUCUUGAAUGUGCACAAGGAAGGUGGAAUUCGUGGUGUAGCGGUGAAAUGCUUAGAUAUCACGAAGAACUCCGAUUGCGAAGGCAUCCUUCUGGGGCAUGAUUGACGCUGAGGCUCGAAAGCGCGGGUAUCAAACA
rnacentral:rRNA from 1 species